AAUACGUUCCCGGACCUUGCACACACCGCCCGUCAAGCCAUAGAAGCUGGGUGUACCUAAAGUCGGUAACCGCAAGGAGCCGCCUAGGGUAAAACUAGUGACUGGGGCU
rnacentral:rRNA from 1 species